AAACCUGAGAAACCCGAAAGUUCGAAUGAGAAGAUUCAGUAUCUUACAUUUGGUCGACCAUUUCUAUUUUAUGUGAUAAUUUUUAAUGUCAUUUAUUUGUCAUUAAUAUUACACUAAUUUGUUAUGCAGAUUGGCUAUGGAGAUAUGCACUUCUUCUCUAGUAGGACGUUGCAACCCAUUGGAUGUUAAUCUAAGGUCCCUUAUGGUAGCCUAUUUUAUAUAUAUUUCGGUAUAUGUGAUUUAGACCUUAGGUGUAUUACCUGAUUAACUUGUUCGAUGGUAGAUUAUAAUAUUGGGCCGCCUAUAUGGCAUUCAAAUUAUUUUCAAGUGUGUACGGAUAAAAUUUUGGCUAACAGACCUAGUGCUGUUACUGAAACCGUUAUACUGCUGGAAUUUAAUAUAUUGAAUAGACCUAGUAUAUUGAUUAGCAACGCUUUAGCUUUGGGUACUUUCAGGAC
rnacentral:rRNA from 1 species